GAGAGUUUGAUCCUGGCUCAGGACGAACGCUGGCGGCGUGCUAAACACAUGCAAGUCGAACGAGAAUCUGUGGAUCGAGGAUUCGUCCAAGUGAAGCAGAGGACAGUGGCGGACGGGUGAGUAACGCGUGAGGAACCUGCCUUUCAGAGGGGGACAACAGUUGGAAACGACUGCUAAUACCGCAUGAUACAUUUGGGUGGCAUCAUCUGAAUGUCAAAGAUUUAUCGCUGAAAGAUGGCCUCGCGUCUGAUUAGCUGGUUGGUGAGGUAACGGCCCACCAAGGCGACGAUCAGUAGCCGGACUGAGAGGUUGACCGGCCACAUUGGGACUGAGAUACGGCCCAGACUCCUACGGGAGGCAGCAGUGGGGAAUAUUGGGCAAUGGGCGCAAGCCUGACCCAGCAACGCCGCGUGAAGGAAGAAGGCUUUCGGGUUGUAAACUUCUUUUAAGAGGGAAGAGCAGAAGACUGUACCUCUAGAAUAAGCCACGGCUAACUACGUGCCAGCAGCCGCGGUAAUACGUAGGUGGCAAGCGUUGUCCGGAUUUACUGGGUGUAAAGGGCGUGCAGCCGGGAAUGCAAGUCAGAUGUGAAAUCCAUGGGCUUAACCCAUGAACUGCAUUUGAAACUGUAUUUCUUGAGUACUGGAGAGGCAAUCGGAAUUCCUAGUGUAGCGGUGAAAUGCGUAGAUAUUAGGAGGAACACCAGUGGCGAAGGCGGAUUGCUGGACAGCAACUGACGGUGAGGCGCGAAAGUGUGGGGAGCAAACAGGAUUAGAUACCCUGGUAGUCCACACUGUAAACGAUGAAUACUAGGUGUGCGGGGACUGACCCCCUGCGUGCCGCAGUUAACACAAUAAGUAUUCCACCUGGGGAGUACAAUCGCAAGGUUGAAACUCAAAGGAAUUGACGGGGGCCCGCACAAGCGGUGGAUUAUGUGGUUUAAUUCGAAGCAACGCGAAGAACCUUACCAGGGUUUGACAUCCUGCUAACGAAGUAGAGAUACAUUAGGUGCCCUUCGGGGAAAGCAGAGACAGGUGGUGCAUGGUUGUCGUCAGCUCGUGUCGUGAGAUGUUGGGUUAAGUCCCGCAACGAGCGCAACCCCUAUUGUUAGUUGCUACGCAAGAGCACUCUAGCGAGACUGCCGUUGACAAAACGGAGGAAG
rnacentral:rRNA from 1 species